rnacentral:rRNA from 1 species
GACCAGACUCCUACGGGAGGCAGCAGUGAGGAAUAUUGGUCAAUGGGCUUACGCCUGAACCAGCCAAGUCGCGUGAGGGAAGACUGCCCUAUGGGUUGUAAACCUCUUUUGUCAGGGAGCAACGCCGGCUACGUGUAGCCGGACUGAGAGUACCUGAAGAAAAAGCAUCGGCUAACUCCGUGCCAGCAGCCGCGGUAAUACGGAGGAUUCAAGCGUUAUCCGGAUUUAUUGGGUUUAAAGGGUGCGUAGGCGGUCGGAUAAGUUAGAGGUGAAAUCCCGAGGCUCAACUUCGGAAUUGCCUCUGAUACUGUUCGGCUAGAGAGUAGUUGCGGUAGGCGGAAUGUAUGGUGUAGCGGUGAAAUGCUUAGAGAUCAUACAGAACACCGAUUGCGAAGGCAGCAUGCCGGCUCCACACUGACGCUGAGGCACGAAAGCGUGGGUAUCGAACAGGAUUAGAUACCCUUGUA